rnacentral:rRNA from 1 species
GACGAACGCUGGCGGCGUGCCUAAUACAUGCAAGUCGAGCGGAAAGGCCCUGUUCUUGUGCGAUCCGCGAGUGGCGAAAGGGGGAGUAUCACGCGAGUAACCUGCCCUUGAGUUUGGGAUAACAUCAGGAGACUGGGGCGAAUACAGGGCAUGAACUCCUUAUACACGGGGUUGGUGGUAAAAAGUCGGCGGUUCGGGAUGGACGCGCGGCUUAGCAGCUUGUUGGCGAGGUAGUGGCGUACCAGGGCUUUGACGGGAAGCCGGCCUGAGAGGGUGACCGGCCACAUUGGGACUGAGAUACGGCCCAGACUCCUACGGGGGGCAGCAGUGGGAAAUAUUGCACGAUGGGCGGAAGCCUGAUGCAGCAACGCCGGGUGCGGGAUGACGGCCUUCGGGUUGUAAACCGCUUUCGACUGUGACGAAGAGUGAGUGACGGUAAUGGGUAAAGAAGCAACGGCUAACUACGUG